rnacentral:rRNA from 1 species
UACGUAGGGGCCUAGCGUUGUCCGGAUUUAUUGGGCGUAAAGAGCUCGUAGGCGGUUUGGUGAGUCGGGUGUGAAAUCUCCACGCUCAACGUGGAGGGGCCACCCGAUACUGCCAUGACUAGAGUCCGGUAGGGGAGUGUGGAAUUCCCGGUGUAGCGGUGAAAUGCGCAGAUAUCGGGAAGAACACCCGUGGCGAAGGCGGCUCUCUGGGACGGUACUGACGCUGAGACGCGAAAGCGUGGGGAGCGAACAGG